rnacentral:lncRNA from 1 species
CGCGGCGGCGGCGGCGGCGGCGGCGCGGGGCAGGAGCUGCGCGGCCGCCCCCUCCCCUGCUCGCCUCUCCGGAGCCUGUGCUGGGAAGGCAGUGACAGCGGCGAGAGCGGCGAGAGGCGGCGGAAGACAUUAGAGACCGCGGUGCCGAAAAAUGAGGGAAAAAAUUAAUAUAAAUUCGCCCCCCGCCUCAAACCGGCCGAAUUUCGCACAGAAAUUUCCCCCGUGGACCCGGCUACCCGGAGGGUGUCCCCCGGACCCGGCGGCUCCGUCUUUGGGGGGAUCCGGAGGGACUUUGGGGCACUCGACCCCCCUUUCCCUGCGUUUUUUGGACAAAAGUUUUUUUUUUUUCAUAAUAAAGAAACGAAUUUGCCUGCUCUCCCCCUCCGAGUGGCCCGGAGGCUUUUCCCUUCCCCAUCGGUGUGUGUUUAGAGAAAAGUGUGAACCCAAACUUUGCUAUUUAAAACCUGUCCCUACCUUCUGGCACCCUGUUAAUUUCUCCAGCACAGCCAGUUCCUUUGUGCUGUCUGCAUAGCAGACCUUCAAGUGAAAUUACUGAGCUCUUUGUCUGUAUGUGCUCUCGUUGCCAUCCAUCCACACUCAUUCAGCUGCCUCUGUAUAUUGUAGACUAGAACAUGAACCCAUGGAAAAAGAGUCUUCUGAACCCAUCUGCCUACUGUAAGGAGAAAUCCUGAAGUUCAAGAUAAGAUAAACACAGCCUUGUAAAAAAAAAAAAAUUUUUUUUUUCUGAUUCAUUUGCAUAUGUGCAUGUGCCCCCUUUAAAUGAAAUACUGCUCUAGGGUAGGGCCAGUGCCUACAUCUUUGAACCUUUUACAAUAAAUAUUGUCCAAAAAUAUAAAAGACCA